AUUAAACGCUGGCGGCAUGCCUUACACAUGCAAGUCGAACGGCAGCACGGGGGCAACCUUGGUGGCGAGUGGCGAACGGGUGAGUAAAGCAUCGGAACGUGCCCUGGAGUGGGGGAUAACGUAGCGAAAGUUACGCUAAUACCGCAUAUUCUGUGAGCAGGAAAGCAGGGGAUCGCAAGACCUUGCGCUCUGGGAGCGGCCGAUGUCGGAUUAGCUAGUUGGUGGGGUAAAGGCCUACCAAGGCGACGAUCCGUAGCGGGUCUGAGAGGAUGAUCCGCCA
rnacentral:rRNA from 1 species